AGUGUUAUCGAUCGUUUUGUUUGAGAAACUUUGAAUUCAAUUAAAAAGAGACAGACAACUGAGUAGAAAUGCUCAUGAACAGGAAUACAGAUCAGGAAGUGGAUCAUGUCUCAGUGAGAGGGCGCCCUCUGUCGGAUCACAUGGCUCAUAGCUCUAAACUCUCCAGGAUAACCUAUACUACCGUACUAAAUAGUAUGUCUCCUGAAUAGCACGCCGUCACUACUUAGUAGGGUAGUAUACGAGGACGAAGACAAACCUUUGACAGCUGUGGAAGGUGCUGUGGAAAAAGUCCCCUCAGGCGAAUAAGUUCCGACAGAAGAGGACGUGUCGCGUGACUCCACAAAACAGGGUUGAAAGAGGUGCUUUCACUGAACGGGACACGAGAAAUGUAGCACAGUGGAAGUGCCAAGGAAAUCGGACCCGACGAAGCUUUCGAACGUGACUUCCAGACUGUCCUUUAGCCCGGCGCAAGAAUCUCCCAGCAACUUCAGUCGGAGGAGGGCCUGCAUGUCCAAAUUCCUCCUUGUCAGUCUUUGGAGUCUUUGAUCCACUAGGGGGCAGCACCACCAUUUUGCAGCCAUUCAGCACACUGAGCUCUGGUGACCCGUGCCGACUUCCUCUCUCACCGACUCUCUCCUCCGUCUGGUCGCCUUCAGGCCCUGCUGGAGCCACGGGCAUCCUUCACCCUGAGCGGGGAGCAGGAAGAGGGA